rnacentral:lncRNA from 1 species
GAGCUAUUUUCGAUAAUGUGACUCCCGAAUCAAUGAUCGGCUCCGCUAGACAUGAUUUAGCAUAUUUGAAGUAUGUAGAAAAUAAAUUUUGCGAUUUUUCGAUAUCGUUUACGUAGUGAUCGAAAAGAUUCAAAAUCAACAAUUUUUAAUGGUCGAUAUCUGCCGUUUCAAGUUUAACGGCAUAGAAGUAUCCAAAUCAAAUGAAAUUCUAAUAGAAAAUUCUUUAUAUUAUCUACAGCAAGUUUAUCUCUGAUUAAAAAUUUUAGUACUAUAUUACCACUUUUUAUGAGAUUUUUAUUUUUA